ACACUCUGGCAUGUUUUUUUCUGUGCAUUAAUAUAUAAAUUUCUGUCUAUUAUUGUAUAUUUCUGGUUUCUCCUUAAUAAAAAAAAAAAAAAGGUAGGUAUCAUCACGGUUUUUAUGACCUAUGUGUACAUUUUACCAGCUGUUACCUACAGUUUAUACAAAAAUGAUGGUCAUCGACCAGUGGUCGAUAUCUCAAACAUAAUAAUAGCGCGUUGAAUAAUACGAUCGCAUUAUGAUUCAUUAAAUAAAUAGAACCGAAUGUCAGGGCUUUACUGAGUCAUAUGUAAACCUAGUAUUUAUAUUUAAACUGUAAAUUCAUCUGAAACUCACGCACAUGUUUAUUAUGCGUUAAAAUUGUAAUCUUAGUUCAAAUGGAACAUAGGCAGCAUAUCCCCCGAACCUGCAGCUCCUGUCAAAAAACAACCAGACCGUUAUUUCCGGCGUGACGACCGAGUCUGUCCCAAAAAUACUUCUCAAUGCACCCUCGUGAACUUGCACUACAUGACGUCACCAAAGUGUGGACUCUGAGGAAGUCCACAAGUCCGGAGUGUGCCAUUUGGGACAGGGCUGAAGACCAGACCUCCGAAGCGCACGAAGGGUCCUCCGAAAUGCGUGAGAUGCUCCGCGCGCCUUCACAGGAUUUCCUAAUUGCGCCACCAGGUGUUUUCGAUUAGCGUAGCAACGGUGCCAGAGGAGCGCUGACGAGAGGACAGACCUUCCAGAAUAGGAUAGGUUGAGCCAGAAUUGCUCGUUUUUGUUUAUAUGAUUUACUCAUAAUGGAGGAGACGGUGAUGAACCUCAGGCUUAGCCAAGACCGAGGCCAGGUAAACUACACUGGUUUGCUGCGAUCUUUGUCGGAUUACAACUUUAAAUGCAGGGAGACCCUGACUGUGCUGCUGGAUCUACUGGGAAGUGAACGGCAACAUGGAUGGUGUGCCAUGAUCCAGACCCUGGUGUUUCUCUUCUGUCUGCUAGUGGUACAUCAUACAGAUGGUCUCCAGAGUGUUUGACAUGUGCCUCGUUCCACUGUCACCACACUGUCCUCCAAGUCUCUGAGGAGGUGCUGGUCAUUCACCAAGAGAUUCACCUCCUGAAGACCCCAGAACACAUGGAGGCAGGGCCGGGCUCAAACUGAUGUUGUUUUUCUGAUGUUAAACCUGUUGUAAAUGGUUGUAAAAACUACUUUCUAUUAUGUUUAGAACAAUUUGUUUUAAUGUGUAAAAAAGUAUUUACAGGACAAACAAAUAAACAUAAAAAAUAAUGUUUUGUGAAAAAAAUU
ensembl:lncRNA